CAGAAAUGAGAAUCCGUAUCUUCCAAACCUUCGUGAUUUAAACGCAGCACUUAAACGUUAACGUCGUGGGAUUUUAUAUGUGUCAAUUAAUUAUGAUAAAAAUUUUAUUUCAUUUUUACAUAAAUUAAUCAUUAUAUUUUUUACCUUAAUGAUUUGUUUAAGAACAAAGACACGUAAAGCUAAAGGACCAGUGAUGUGAUGUGCAAGUAACCAGUUCAUCUAUUAUCCAUGGAUUUCAUUUUUAAAUACUACAUUAUGCAGAAUAUUAACUACUGUUUAUUAGAGCAUUCAUGAGUUAACUUUUGUAACUGAGUUAUAUGAAGUAGCUCUAUGGUACAAGUAAGAAAGAAAACACUGCUUUUCUUUCAUCUAAUUUCUUCUGACACUGUGGUAAGCUUUUUUCUUACUAAUAGGUAGUAUAAACUGAUCAGAACCUGUAUUAACUAUGUAAAAAAUAUGUAUAUAGUUGUGAACACACAGAAAAUAUUUGAAGAACUUUCUUAUUCUUCAUACCAGAGUGAAAUGCAAGAAUAAAUAUAUUUUAUUUAGAUUCUAUGUUUAAUUUUGUGUUCAUAACAGUAUUUUCUUUUUGUUGUUUUUUCCAGAGUAUGUUACGUACUGAACAUAUAUUUAAUAAACCCUUAACAAAUAAAAUUCACACUUUAAAAACUACAAAUGUACAGUGUGACAUAACUUUAGUGAAAUAGUUUUCAUUAUGUAUUAUUCAUUUUUAACCAAAUAAUAGUUUGAAAAGUUGAAGAAGGGUUGAUCAUAACUUGAUGCUACAUAGCAAUAACAAAAUUUAUAUUAUCCUCAUGAAAUAUCAAAAUAUAAGUUAUAAUAAUUUCUUCAGUUGCUCAUCAUUAGUUUCUAAUGCAGUUUCUAGUGAUUACAUGGUGUUAUUUUAGUAGAUGUCUGUUCAAUUUGACAGCUUGAAAGGAAAUGUAAAAGAACAGUAAACACUUGAUUUUCAAUUUAUUAAUAUUAAAUGCCUCAGAUAUGCAUUUGAAAAUGUUAACUAAUGUCAUCAUUUAAAGUGUAUGAGGAGAGAUAGAAACUUUAUUAUAUGAGUUAAAUAUAUAAUAAGAGCAAGUCUUAAAGCAUUUCAAAAUAUAUUCAUCGAAUGUAAUAAAAUAAUGGUAAUGUGAUAGUACUUAAAUAUUUUGUUGGGUUAGGUGAAAUACAGUAAAUUUAAAGAACAACACUUGGGUGACAUGGAAUACCAUGUUCUUGAAGUAUGAUAGUUAAAUGAUGCUGAAAGGUUUUACUUCAUAAAACAGGUUCAACGUUUGAAAAGAAAAAAUCGUCAACUACAGACAGAAAACAUUAUAUUUUUAAAUUGAUGGUGAAUUUAUAAAAACAAACUGUCCAAAUAUUCAUUUUUCUUUUUGUCUAUACACUCGUAUUCUAGAUUAACAAAAAACAAACUGUAUAAAUAUUGUGUAGUUUUGACAUAUCAUUGAACUUGGACAUAUAACUUUUCUUAACUGUGAUUAAGUAUAAUACUUCUUUAUUCAAAUUACUUUUCACAUGUAUUGGAUGGAAGUGUAGGAACUAAUCUGUUUUUAGCUUCUAGACAACUAUGUAAAUUUAUUUUUAUUCCAAUAUAUUAUAUGCAUACCAUCUGUAUAAAAAUAAAUGAAAUAACAGGUUUUAGUUAGCAUGAAUUUGUGAAAUGUACUUGUGCUUUUAUAUUGUGUUUAAUUACAAAGUUUAACCUAUAUAAUGUGUUUCUACAAAACUAUUUGUUUGGUGAGUCAAAAUAUAAGUACAAGUGUUUAUAUUCACCAUUUGAAAUAACUACAUUUGUUUAUGAAUAUAUAAAUAUUCCAAAAGAGGAUUACAUGUGUGUGUGUAUUAGUAAACUUGAUAAAUAGAAAUAAUGUUUAAUAAUAAAAUAUACCUAACAAGACCAAAAAUCUGUCUUAUAUUUGUCUUGAGCAGAAAACAUAUGACUAAGAAUUUUCAGAUACUGUUAAAGUCAACAAAAUGUUUCUUGAAAUAGGUGAAAAUCAACACUGACAUGGAAUUUUUUUCUCAGCAAAUAUUUGGAAUGCAAAAUUAAUUAUAAAAGUAUGCUGCUUGAUUUAUUUUUAAGGUGUUGCUUAACACUAUUGUAAUAAUAAUAAGUCUUAUCAUUAACUACAGUUUGCUACUGAGUUUCAAACGGAUAAUCCCUGCCAACACAAAGAUCUAUGAUUAGAGACUUAACUCUUUUUUUAUAUGUAUAAUUUUAAAUAUUUUGACUUUGAACCAUUUGAUAGUAUUUUAUUGCCAGACCAUUCACAUUUUCAGUUUCUAAUAAUGUAUACAUUGUAUGUAACCAUUCAUAUGCCACGUAACUUAAUGAAGUGUAAGAUAGCAUCAUUGGCAGCCAAAUAUAAACAGAUACAGUAAUUGAGAAAUGACAAAAAAAAA